UACGAAGGGGGCUAGCGUUGCUCGGAAUCACUGGGCGUAAAGCGCACGUAGGCGGAUUGCUAAGUCAGGGGUGAAAUCCUGGAGCUCAACUCCAGAACUGCCUUUGAUACUGGCGACCUUGAGUCCGGGAGAGGUGAGUGGAACUGCGAGUGUAGAGGUGAAAUUCGUAGAUAUUCGCAAGAACACCAGUGGCGAAGGCGGCUCACUGGCCCGGUACUGACGCUGAGGUGCGAAGGUCAGGGGAGCAAACGGG
rnacentral:rRNA from 1 species